UUUAUUUUUCAUGUUUACUUUUGAGAGAGACGGGGAGAGAGAGAGAGAGUGAAUGAGCAGGGGAGGGCCAGAAAGAGAGCAAAACACAAAAUCUGAAGCAGGCUCCAGGCUCUGAUCUGUCAGCACAGAGCCCAACCUUGGGUUUGAACUCAGGAACUGUGAGAUCAUGACCUGAGCUGAAGUCAGACGCUCAACUGACUGAGCCACUCGGGUGCCCGAGGAACAAGCCUUUAUAGUUUAUUCUUGUCUGGGGUGGAGUUGGGGUCCCUGCCGGUGCCUUGUGGGAUAAUAGUUGCUUUUCUGCUUCACAGAACUUCAUUCUGUGGGUGACCUCUUCAUUGUCCUUGUCUUGAGUUAGGGAGCUUUGAGAGAUUGAAGGUUAAUUGGAGAUUUAGGAGUUAAAAAGGGGUGGAGGUGGGGAGGGUACGAGAAAGGAGGGAAGAGUUUGGUAGUGUUUUUGUACCUUGUGUGAAUUAAAGAUAUCUGUGUCCCUUGUUCUUCAUCGCAGGAAUGACUUCCCCACACUGACCCAGUGGCUCAGGCCAAAACCCUAGGAGUGCUUUUCAGCACUUCCUUCCCCUUUCCGAGCCCACCUGUGGUCUGUCCCACCUUUCCUCCAUGUUCUGUCCCUCGUGUGAUCCUGUUCUCCUCACGUCUCCCCAGGACCCCCAUUAUGACCUUCUCAUGGCAGCUGACUCUUUACCGCCCCGCCCUCCUGCCCCCCUACAAUGUAGCUUCUAGAACCACAGCCAGAGUGAGGACUUCAAACUCUAAAUAAAAUAAUGUUGUUCUCCUCAAAACCCUCGUGGCCUACAGUUUCAUGGACUAUAAAUGGCAAGCUCCUUGCCAUGAAACAAUAUGGUGGUUCCUCAGAAAGAGAAACCUAGAAUUACCGUAGAAUCCAGCAGUUCCACUUUUGGAGAUGCACACUGAGGGUUGCAGACCCACCUUCAAAAAAGCUACCCAAAGUCUCUGUCCAUGUAUCUGAUCUUGGACCCCACCUCCGAGCAGCAGCAGCAAAGUAGAGCCAUUUGUGCUGUGGCAUCUGCAAUUUUGGUGACUCAUGAACGAUCAUCUUUUCUCUGAAGGAGCAGGAAUGAAGAAUUUGCGACCAGUUUAUCUUCUCGCUGUCCCUCCCCUUUAGGACAACUGCCUCAUGCUGGAUCCUUAAUUUAAAGAAAAUGGAUGUUUCCCUCUGGCCUGAAAGCUGGGGAUUCUUAUCAAAAGUGACAUUAAAAAAGUGCCAGACUGGCCUCCUCCCUCUCGCCUGCCCAUCCUUCAUCACUCCUGCCCGUCUCCAUCACUGUCUCCCCAUCUCAAGAGCUGUCUCCACUUCCUGGGUCCCUGGAGAGAAAGCAUGAGCUCAUUGUUCUCCAGUGAAAAACCAGACUUGGUCUCCUUCUUGCCUCGUUUGUCUGUCAGAGCCUGGAGAUUGAUGGUCCUUCCAGCAGCCGAAACUGCCUGGGGAAGCCGAUGCCUCCUUCAUUGGGUGUCUGCACCCUGUGGGGAGGGUAUGGGGAGGGCAGUGAAGGCUUGGGGCUCUGAACUUUCUAGAAGGUUAUUAGGGCUGUGAUGGGAAUAAGGGAAUGGGUUAUUUACUAUACCCUCAAUGGUGAUUUAAAGCCAUACCUCACCUUCUCCUCCUCUCUCAGGCAGCUGGUUUCAAGCUGGAAAAUACAUGAGCACAUGGAGAAAAGCUGCAGCCAAGACCUUACAGGGAAGACGGGUGGUGUGGGGCAAGCCCAACAACGCCUCGUUCUUUAUUUCCUUUGGUGAGGGAGUUACUGUGUAAUGACACUUUAAAAAUACCAGGUCAAAAACCUGCUAAAAGAUUCAGAACUGUCUCCUUUUCUGGGGGAAAAGGCACUCAGAACCCAGGAAUGUGGAAAUUAGGAUAAAGAAAAUAGAUCGUACCAAAGAUGAGAUGAACGUUAUUCAUUAAAAUUUUUUUUUAAUGUUUAUUUUUGAGAGAGAGAGAGACAGAGUGUGAUGGGGGGAGGGGUGCAGGGAGAGGGAGACACAGAAUCCGAGGCAGGCUCCAGGCUCUGAGCUGUCAGCCCAGAGUCCGACGUGGGGCUUGAACUCAUGAACCACAUAAUGAUGAUGACCUGAGCCGAAGUCGGACGCUUAACUGACUGAGCCACGCAGGCGCCCCAGAGACGAGGUGACCCUUAGCACAGGAGAUCGUGAAGCGUUCGGUGCUAUUUAGAUGUUGGUCAAGGAGGACAGCCACUCGAUAAAGUAACCAAAAGGGGCUGGUGAGUGAAUGGAGGUGCGGGCAGAGAAAUGGAACUGUGCUCAGUGGGGUGACUGGGGGCACAGAUCUCGGUUGUGAUGUGAGGCACGCGGCAGUCACCCAGCAGGGAGGCCUCCGUUCUAGUUCCUAAUUGGAGUGUUGAGUGCCAGACGAUGACGGACACGGGAGGCGCUGUCUCCAGUGGGGCCAUCCUGUUCGAGAGCGGGGACUGGGCUGUCAGAUGGGGUGCCCGAAGUGCCGUGAGCCUGGAGGUAGGUGAGCGGUGUCCAGAUUUUUCAAUGAAGGAGGAGAUUGUUGGGAUUCGGUGAACCCAGACGAGCAGCUGAGCUCGAGGGAGCUCUGGAAAACUGUCCAAAGGGCUUAUUAACCAGAUGGCGGGUGAGUGAUCAGCAAGGAGGCUGUGAUGUGCAGAGUCCAAACAAGCUGCGCCAAGCUGGCCUCGUUCCCUUUCUGGCUAUGCCUCUUAGGUUGACGGGGUGAAAGAUACACAAGUGGACGAGAUGGGGAAGUGGCUCUGGGUGGGGGAUGGUGGGUGGAUCAGGGGUGUGAAUUCCUGGCAGGCCCAAUAGUCCUAUCCAAAGUGCUUUCUCUCUCUCUUUUUUAUUUUGUUUAAUUUUUUU